UGUAGGGCUUCGGCUUUAUUUGUGGGAGUUUAUGAACCCACAAAGCAGAAACUGCUGAAGGGAGCUUUCCUGAUCAUUUAAGAUUGCGGUUGCUCACUUGACUGCAGGGGGCCGGGGCCAUCGGUGGACUUGUUGCCUCUCUGAUUCGAGUGCCUACAGAGGUUGCGAAUGCAGACUGGACAGCAAUGACAUGGACUUGCUCGUAUGCAACAUCUAUAUUAUUAAAAUAGAAGUAUACUUUGAAAAUAUCCCUAAAUUUUUGAAGUUAUUUAUAUUAGAAUGCCACUAAAGUAAUAAAUUAAUUUCCCUUAA